UACGUAGGGUGCAAGCGUUAAUCGGAAUUACUGGGCGUAAAGCGUGCGCAGGCGGUUUUGUAAGUCUGAUGUGAAAUCCCCGGGCUCAACCUGGGAAUUGCAUUGGAGACUGCAAGGCUAGAAUCUGGCAGAGGGGGGUAGAAUUCCACGUGUAGCAGUGAAAUGCGUAGAGAUGCGGAGGAACACCGAUGGCGAAGGCAGCCCCCUGGGUCAAGAUUGACGCUCAUGCACGAAAGCGUGGGUAGCGAACAGG
rnacentral:rRNA from 1 species